rnacentral:rRNA from 1 species
AGAGUUUGAUUAUGGCUCGGGAUGAACGCUGGCGGCGUGCUUAACACAUGCAAGUCGAGCGAGAAAUGUUCAAACAGAGAUUCGUCAAAGGGCGGACAUGGACAGCGGCGGACGGGUGAGUAACGCGUAGGUAACCUACCCUUAACUGCGGGAUAGCCUAGGGAAACCUGGAUUAAUACCACAUAAUGCGUUGAAGUCACAUGGCUUUAACGCCAAAGAUUUAUCGGUUAAGGAUGGACCUGCGUCUGAUUAGCCAGUUGGUGGGGUAACGGCCUACCAAAGCGACGAUCAGUAGCCGACCUGAGAGGGUGAUCGGCCACAUUGGAACUGAGACACGGUCCAAACUCCUACGGGAGGCAGCAGUGGGGAAUAUUGCACAAUGGGCGCAAAGCCUGAUGCAGCAACGCCGCGUGAGCGAAGAAGGCCUUCGGGUUGUAAAGCUCUGUCCUUAGGGACGAAGAAGUGACGGUACCUAAGGAGGAAGCCCCGGCUAACUACGUGCCAGCCGCCGC